GUUUAUUUCAAAAGCAUUCACAUCAUCUUGCAUAGUUACCACCUGCAUAUUCUUGAUACCCAGCGUAGUUCAUAAGACAUUGUAGAAAAACAAAACAUAUUUGAUGAAUAAAUGAAUGAACAUAUAUCACCUAAUUUUUAAUGUUAUUUUACAGCAUUGCCCUUAGAGCUGGGCAUCCAGGACCUUGCCCUCUACCUGGAGAUUCGACGGGCUCACUCUUUCCCCUCCUGCCACAAUCCUCAUGGACUGAAGAGUCCCCAGGGCCAAAGGAAGAAGAUGACGGCCAGCCUUCUGCAGGUGCAAGUUCCUCCGAAAUAAAGGUACUGGGGUGUCAUGGGUGACCUAAAAAGGAAGACGCUUCACAAACUCCUCUUGUGUAUUUGAAGUGAAAUAGAAGUCAUAACCUCAACACUAUCCUUGGAUUACUGGUGGAAAGUUAAAUUCAGAAAAGAAUAUAGCCUUGUCUACACCAUGCGUACUUAUCUAGAAAAACCGUUUUUUUUUUUUUUUCUCAUUAGUGUUAGGAAACAAAAACUGGUGAACUAACCACUUUAGGGAGAAGGUUCUGAGGUCACAGAGGUUUGUGAAACAGCUCGGAAAGGCUUAUCCAGAGAAGGCAGUACAGGAGAUAAAAAUCUUAUCAUGUAGCCAGGUAAAAAGAGGCAAGAAGAGCAGCGGUCAACCAGGAUUGUGUGCCUUGGGGGAUCUAAUAUCAGGAAGCAUAUACACUUGUAUUCAACAGAUAUUCUUGUUGAAACUGGAGAAGGAUCUACCUAAAAAGGCUGCAGAGUUCCAUAGGGUGGGGGAUAUAACUCCAAGAGAAAAAAAAUGGAGAAAGAAAGACUAGGAAAAAGGAAAUGAGGUCUGUCCUCUUUUCUUGUUAAUGUAGCUGUAGGAGAUGAUGCCAUUUCUGGUAUGGCUGGGUGUGAGAAGUAAAAGUUCCUCUUCAAAGUUUCCUUUCUUGUUAAAGAAUAAAUCAUAAGCUUGCUAAUAACUGUUUGUUAAGCCCUAUCCUACAUGGCUGUUAAACAUGCCAAACUUACGGGCAGGUAGUAUAUUCUUUUAUUAUUAUCAUUAUACUUUAAGUUCUGAGUACAUGGGCAGAUUGUGCAGGAUUGUUACGUAGGUAUACACAUGACCUAAUGUAGAUGAUGGGUGGGUUGAAUGUACAUAGUAUAGUCUAUGUCCUUGUACUUUAACCAAGAUAAUCUGUGCUGGAUGUGCUCACAGGCAUGUCCCAGCUUGCCAUUGCUUUCACCUGUUCAGAAAAAGUUUUAAGUUAUUAGCCAAUUGGGUUUUAGUUUAGAUUGUGAGGUCUGGCUCCAACCAAUGGAGAUCAGACAGCAGUAAAAACAACCCCGAAUGCAUAAGGGAUAAGUACGCCUGCUUUUCCUUUGUUCAUUGUACUCUUGUGGCAAGAUGGCUAAGGAGAGUACCCUUCCUAUGGGAAGUAAAAAUUGCUUGCUGAGAG
rnacentral:lncRNA from 1 species